UACAGAGGUCUCAAGCGUUGUUCGGAUUCAUUGGGCGUAAAGGGUGCGUAGGUGGCGCUGUAAGUCGGGUGUGAAAUCUCGGAGCUUAACUCCGAAACUGCAUUCGAUACUGCCGUGCUUGAGGACUGGAGAGGAGACUGGAAUUCCCGGUGUAGUGGUGGAAUGCGUAGAUAUCGGGAGGAACACCAGUGGCGAAGGCGGUUACCUGGAGCUUUGCUGACGCUGAUGCGCGAAAGCGUGGGGAGCGAUCCGG
rnacentral:rRNA from 1 species